rnacentral:rRNA from 1 species
GACGAACGCUGGCGGCGUGCUUAACACAUGCAAGUCGAACGGUGAAGGAAGAGCUUGCUCUUCCGGAUCAGUGGCGAACGGGUGAGUAACACGUGGGCAACCUGCCCCUGACUCUGGGAUAACUCCUCGAAAGAGGUGCUAAUACCGGAUACGACCACUUCGGACAUCCGAUGGUGGUGGAAAGUUUUCGGUCAGGGAUGGGCCCGCGGCCUAUCAGCUAGUUGGUGGGGUAAUGGCCUACCAAGGCGACGACGGGUAGCCGGCCUGAGAGGGCGACCGGCCACACUGGGACUGAGACACGGCCCAGACUCCUACGGGAGGCAGCAGUGGGGAAUAUUGCGCAAUGGGCGAAAGCCUGACGCAGCGACGCCGCGUGAGGGGAUGAAGG